ensembl:lncRNA
CACCAAGGCUAGUGACCCGAGUUCCAUUCCCUGGACCCACAUGGCAGAAGGAGAGAAACAACUCCUGCACUGGAGGCAAGGAUGGCCAAGAACCAGGAGGCCAUUCUGAAGGAGAGACUGGUGGCUCAUAGAAGCUAGAGAGUCCAGUCCAGAGAGGAGUUGGAAACACUGAAGCAGCAAAGACGUGCCCAUCAGUCAAAAAGGUCAAAGAGGUGGCUAGAGAGACAGCCCAGCAGUUAAGAGCACCGGCUGCUCUUGCAGGGGACCCACGACUUUCUCCUCUGGCUGUGGGCAUGUGGAGGCUGGGGUGGUAGACAGACUGUUUCACAAUCUAUAUGACAUUCGGCAGUCUCCCAUUGAUUGCAUCAGUGGUUCUCACUUUCCUAAUGCUGCAGACCUUUAAUAGAGUGAGUUCCUGUGUCAUGGUAACCCCCAACCAUAAAACCAUUUUCUUUGGGGCUGGAGAGAUGGCUCAGCAGUUAAGAGCACUGACUGUUCUUCCAGAGGUCCUGAGUUCAAUUCCCAGCAACCACAUGGUGGCUCACAACUGCCUUGAAUGAGAUCUGGUGCCCUCUGCCUGCAUGCAGGCAGAAG